rnacentral:rRNA from 1 species
CAGUCGCCACGGUAAUACAGAGGGUGCAAGCGUUAAUCGGAUUUACUGGGCGUAAAGGGCGCGUAGGUGGUUAUUUAAGUGAGAUGUGAAAUCCCCGGGCUUAACCUGGGAACUGCAUCUUAUACUGGGUAACUGGAGUGCAGUAGAGGGUAGUGGAAUUUCCGGUGUAGCGGUGAAAUGCGUAGAUAUCGGAAGGAACACCAGUGGCGAAGGCGGCUACCUGGACUGAGACUGACACUGAGGCGCGAGAGCGUGGGGAGCAAACAGGAUUAGAUACCCCUGUAGUCCCUGUCUCUUAUAC